rnacentral:piRNA from 1 species
UCCUUGCACGCGGGUNCCGCUCCUGUGCAGC